UAGCCGGGACUGCCGAUCUACAGCUGGC
rnacentral:piRNA from 1 species